GGCUUCCUCCGACACAGGAGGCAAAGGAAUCUAGGACCAUUUGAAAAACAGAAAACAAACUCAUCUGUUCUAAAUUGACUUCCCAUCCCAGAGAAAGUUGUAGAACUUUACCUCACGAGGAUGUGGGCCAAGAACCUGAUUUCAAUUCAAGGCUGACCUUUGGUUAAGGCAUGGAAUAGACCGAAUUAUGACUUUGUGAGCUUGUAAAGGUCGGUAGAAUCAUCCCAGGAUGUUUCAGCGACUUGAGUUAGUAGCAGAAACCUGUGGGGGGCGGUGACAGCAGUAGGUAAGUGUGAUGAAGAGCCAGCCCUGAGGAACGACCUGUUUGAUGAAGCCAUUCAUUGAAUGGACCGUGGAGUCAUCCCUGCUGAGCAAGGAAGUGAAUCCUUCUUCAGUGAUUCCAUACUGAAAGUGCACUCGGGAGCUGUAAUAACCACGGAUGGAAAGAGAAGAACAUUUCCGAGGUUGGGAUUCCCAAGAUACCCUUCCAAUUGGAAUAAGCGAACAGACCUUGCAGUCUGGUGGAUUAGACCCCAUCGAGGAAAGGAAAAACCAGAGGAAGGGAAUGAAAUGAUUGGGGUCUGUCAAUCUCUUUUAAAUGGCCUCUGAUUAAAGAAGCCCUUCUGAGAGUGUGAAGCAGUCAACACAAGAACCACCACCUCUAACCUCUAAGGAAUUCUUCCAACUGAACUUUGGAUUUGAUGCCCUUUGUGACACUGGGAAACAAUUUUAAUGAGCCUGUUAUCUCCCUAUUUUAGGAAUGCCUUGCUUGCUAUCAAUAAAGAGAAGAUCAUUGAA